rnacentral:misc_RNA from 1 species
GCUAAAACUUCUUUCAGGUACUUCCUCGCCCUCAAACCUCAUCUUGAACCUCAUCCCAACAGAGAGUUUAUGGUUUUGAGCUUCAAGGUACUUGUUCAGACUUACAAGAAACGUAGACCUGCUUGUCCUUGGCUUGUAAAAGACAGAAAAGAGUGUUCCAGUUGCAAUAGCAUGAGAAGCAGUGGCUAAAACUCCAAGAUGCAUACUGUGACUUGAUAUAACAGAAGAUGGCAUAUUGUUUAGUUGUCUCAUGAGUCUUCUCACCCCAACACGAAGCUCUCCAUUUUCACCUCUUAAAAAGAUAAAAGCAUCUCCAGCUACUAGCUUUUUGGAACUAACAAAGACGCUCCACCCAGUUGUUAGCAAAUGACGCCUUGGUUGACCUCGAAAAAUGUGCCUAAAAUGCCAUUGACUCCCAUGUAAAUCAGUCGCGACCAAUUCUU